UGUUCUGUCUUCUACUCUUGUCUAACUUCUCUUUUUGGGGCAGAUCAUUAGCAAAAUAUUUGAUGCUUUAAGUUGCGUGCAUAAUAUAGGUUUUUCUGUUUGUUUUGGUGUGUUCUAGGAUUUAAUUUUUUGAGUAAAUAAUGUAACUAAUGUUCAGUGCUUGCUCUGUUAUAACAUGUCUUUUAUAUGCAUAAUUCUUUUAGCUGGAAUUUCUCUAUCAAAUAUAGUUGCACCACCCAUUGUCUCUGGUCACCCAACCAUGUUGCCAUGGACAUUUGGGUUACCAAGCGAUUCUUGGUAAAUAGCUACCUUCAUUGAUGUUUUUUUUAUAUCACGUUCAUGGAUUUGGAUGAUUUUGUUAUGUAUGAAUUCUGGCAAAUGAUGACGAAUUUGGAAUCUACAAAUCAAUAUCGUGGUUCCUCCUAGGAUUUUGUGUAGAAUUUUUGCUCAAAUAUUGUUGUUUAAUUGAUGAUGAAUUGCUUGCUUUGUCUAGGGAUUGAAUUUUAUGGUGUUUCAUGUGGUCUUUGAUAAUGAUCAUGAUGGUUUUGAUUUGUUACUUCCUUGCACAUAUUGGUAUCAGUUGGUUUAAUAAUUAUUAAUUGGGUGUAUGAUGCUCGUGGUGAUUUAUAAUUGAAUUUUUGUAUAUAUUGCUUCAGCUACUAUUGAUAUGAAUGUGUGAGUAAUAUCCCAAUGUUUAGUUUGAAUAUCACUCUUAAUAAUGUAUAGUUAAAGAGAACGAAUGAGUUUUUUCGAUUGAAGAAAUGAUGGUGAGAAAAUUGUGUUUCUAUUUCUUUGUAAUGUAGUGACUUCCAUAAGGUAUUGGAAACUUUUAUUCACCAAAAAAAAAAAGAACUAUUAGUCAUCUAGGUUCUUACAAGAGAACAAAUAUGGUGAAAUUUCUCAUGAAUGAGUGUGAGGAAUUAGAAAGGAAUAAAAUUUCCUCUGUCGCUUAUUUAUAUAUCCUGCAGGUUUGAAGGCAUUCAUGGGUUUUACAGGAGAAUUAUAUUACACCAAGCCUUCUAAAUAAUGUCUCAGCGAUCUCAAUCACGUUUAUUGUGUAUGAAAACGUCUUAAACCCGUGGAUUGAACUACAUUGUUAUUUCAUCAUUGCAUAAGCUGGAGGUAAAAUGCAGAACAUUUGUUAACCAAGUCACUUAUUUCGGACUAAAAAAAAGGUAACAACCAAUUUGUUAACCAUGUUUGCACUUUCAAUAUUGUUUAAUUUUUUUGUGUUACACUUUCAUAUUAACUAUAGUUGCAAAAAUAGGUAACAAGAAAUUUAUUUUUUUAGAACUUAAAACAACAAUGGUUGGAUAUCCAGUUGUGAUUUAUGCAUAUUUUUAUUUGUAUUGGCUUUUUGUUUGAUUGUGUUGAAAGAAAGUUAUAGUUCAAAGUGUUAGAGGCUUGGCCACCUUAGAUUUGCAAUUUCAUUAUGUCUUACUCUUCCGUGCAUUAUAAUUAUAAGUGUGUAGAAAAACAUGUGGUGUUUGUUUAAUUAUACAAUGUACUUACUUUCCCCUCA